UCUAAAAAUUUAAUCGGUCCCACUGAUAGUUGUAUAGCACAUUGCGUUUGGGUGUGAGCACAGAAAACAUUAGCAUCUAACUAGCAUCCCGUGACGGUCUGUCUGAGAAUAAUCAGAAUAAAGUCCCAGUGUGAUGAAAAACCUUAACUGUAAUCAGCCCACAAACAAUGGCUAAACUGGGCACUGCAAGUGAGCCAAAAAAAUUACAAUGUCC